rnacentral:lncRNA from 1 species
UUGUGACUCUAUAAAUAGAAGAUCUCUCUUCUCAAAGCCACAGCACAAUAACAUCCACAAUGUAGUUGUUAAAGAAUCUUGUUUAGGGAGAGAUUUCUCCCAAUAGAUUUUAAGCUUUUUUAUUUAGUUUUCAAUGUGUAGGUAUCAAAUCAUAUCUAUAAUAUUAUGUUUUAGUAUAUUUUUCUUUGUCAUCUAAAUUAUCAUCUCCAUGAUUUACAAAUUUAAGCUUUCCUAUA